CCCUGGAUCCAGCUGCUCCAACUCGAUGAUGAGGACUAAACACAGACAGCUCACCAUGGAGCUGGCACUGAGCUGGGUUUUCCUUGUUGCUGUUUUAAAAGGUGUCCAGGCUGAGGUGCAGCUGGUGGAGUCCGGGGGAGGCUUGGUGCAGCCGGGGGGGUCCCUGAAACUCUCCUGUGUGACUUCAGGAUUCACCUUCAGUAACUACUGGAUGCACUGGGUCCGUCAGGCUCCAGGAAAAGGGAUGGAGUGGGUUGGGAGAAUUAAUGGGAAUAGUGGAACUAUAAACUACCCAGACUCUGUGAAGGGCCGAUUCACCAUCUCCAGAGACAACGCUAAGAACACGCUGUAUCUGCAAAUGAACAGCCUGAGAGCGGAGGACACGGCUGUGUAUUACUGUACAACACACA